GACGAACGCUGGCGGCGUGCUUAACACAUGCAAGUCGAACGGAAAGGCCCUGCUUUUGUGGGGUGCUCGAGUGGCGAACGGGUGAGUAACACGUGAGUAACCUGCCCUUGACUUUGGGAUAACUUCAGGAAACUGGGGCUAAUACCGGAUAGGAGCUCCUGCUGCAUGGUGGGGGUUGGAAAGUUUCGGCGGUUGGGGAUGGACUCGCGGCUUAUCAGCUUGUUGGUGGGGUAGUGGCUUACCAAGGCUUUGACGGGUAGCCGGCCUGAGAGGGUGACCGGCCACAUUGGGACUGAGAUGCGGCCCAGACUCCUACGGGAGGCAGCAGUGGGGAAUAUUGCACAAUGGGCGGAAGCCUGAUGCAGCAACGCCGCGUGCGGGAUGACGUCCUUCGGGUUGUAAACCGCUUUCGCCUGUGACGAAGCGUGAGUGACGGUAAUGGGUAAAGAAGCACCGGCUAACUACGUG
rnacentral:rRNA from 1 species